rnacentral:rRNA from 1 species
GCACCGGCUAACUCCGUGCCAGCAGCCGCGGUAAUACGGAGGGUGCGAGCGUUAAUCGGAAUUACUGGGCGUAAAGCGCAUGCAGGUGGUUUGUUAAGUUAGAUGUGAAAGACCCGGGGCGUCAACCUCGGAAUUGCAUUUGAAACUGGCAGACUAGAGUACUGUAGAGGGGGGUAGGAAUUUCAGGUGUAGCGGUGAAAUGCGUAGAGAUCUGAAGGAAUACCGGUGGCGAAGGCGGCCCCCUCGGACAGAUACUGACACUCAGAUGCGAAAGCGUGGGGAGCAAACAGGAUUAGAUACCCUGGUAG